rnacentral:rRNA from 1 species
AACGAACGCUGGCGGCAGGCCUAACACAUGCAAGUCGAACGUGAAGCCACCUUCGGGUGGUGGAAAGUGGCAGGCGGGUGAGUAACGCGUGGGAACGUGCCCUUCGGUUCGGGAUAACCCAGGGAAACUUGGGCUAAUACCGGAUACGCCCUUCGGGGGAAAGAUUCGUUGCCGAAGGAGCGGCCCGCGUCGGAUUAGCUAGUUGGUGGGGGAAUGGCCCACCAAGGCGACGAUCCGUAGCUGGUCUGAGAGGAUGACCAGCCACACUGGGACUGGGGCACGGCCCAGACUCCUACGGGAGGCAGCAGUGGGGAAUAUUGGACAAUGGGCGCAAGCCUGAUCCAGCCAUGCCGCGUGGGUGAAGAAGGCCUUAGGGUUGUAAACCCCUUUCAGCGGGGAAGAUAAUGACGGUACCCGCAGAAGAAGUCCCGGCUAACUCCGUGCCAGCCGCCGCCGUAA